rnacentral:rRNA from 1 species
UACGAGAGGCCCAACGUUAUUCGGAAUUACUGGGCUUAAAGAGUUCGUAGGCGGCAUGACAAGUAGGGUGUGAAAGCCCUCGGCUCAACCGAGGAAUUGCGCUCUAAACUGUCGUGGCUAGAGGAACCUAGAGGUGAGCAGAACUGAUGGUGGAGCGGUGAAAUGCGUUGAUAUCAUCAGGAAUACCGGAGGGCGAAGGCGGCUCACUGGGGGUUUUCUGACGCUGAGGAACGGAAAGCCAGGGUAGCGAAACGGG